GCCAGUGCAACAAUCUCAGGAGCAGGUGUUUAUGGGAAACUCAUGAUUAUAAUGUCAAAUACCAAUGACAAUGACUGACAUUUUCCUUUUGGCAGCGAGUCCCAGUCACAGAGAAGUCUGGACGUGUUCACACCAGUGCUGUUUCUGUUUCUGUUUCUAUCCUUCCUCAGGCUGAUGAGGUAGAUGUCCAGUUGAGGAAUGAAGAUUUGAGAAUUGAUACCUAUAGAUCUGGUGGUUCUGGUGGGCAGCAUGCAAAUUGUGUUGUCAAGUUCAACUUUGGCCCUGAUUUUGAAUUCUUUCCAGAGGACUUUGAUGGACGUCCAGUGUCUAAGCCCUUGGUUGAAGUUCCUUAUCAUGGGUUUGAUAACCGAGUUGAAAAUGGAGCAUCAAGUGAGAAGAAACAUUAGCCAGCAAGCGGCUCCUUUCAACCUUAACUCUUGCGGAGAUUGGAGAUGGAUCUGAGUUUAACAUUGUUGUCAUUUUAGCUGUUAAAAAUAGACUAACAAAUUAUUUGAUGACACUGUAAACUUGAAUUUUUCUAUGAAAGAGAGAAAACGGCUUGUUAAAUAUAAUAAUGUCGCUUGA